GCUCAUCGCAUCCUGGAGCCGUAGCAGGUUCCAAGGGUUUGGCUGUUCGCCAAUUAAAGCGGUACGCGAGCUGGGUUCAGAACGUCGUGAGACAGUUCGGUCCCUAUCUGUCGCGGGCGGAGGAUAUUUGAGGGGAUCUGUCCUUAGUACGAGAGGACCGGGAUGGACAGACCGAUGGUGGACCAGUUGCCGCGCCAGCGGCACGGCUGGGCGGCCAAGUCUGGCAGGGAUAAACGCUGAAGGCAUCUAAGCGUGAAGCCCCCCCCAAGAUGAGAUGUCCCACCCCGAGAGGGGGUAAGGCCCCACGGAGAACACGUGGUUGAUAGGCCGGGAGUGCAAGCGCAGCAAUGCGCUGAGCUGGCCGGUACUAAUAGGCCGAGGGCUUGACCAG
rnacentral:rRNA from 1 species